UCCAGACUCCUACGGGAGGCAGCAGUUGGGAAUAUUGGACAAUGGAGGAAACUCUGAUCCAGUGACGCCGCGUGAAGGAAGAAGGUCUUCGGAUUGUAAACUUAUUUUGUCAGGGAAGAAACAAAUGACUGUACCUGAAGAAAAAGCACCGGCUAACUACGUGCCAGCAGCCGCGGUAAUACGUAGGGUGCAAGCGUUAUCCGGAUUUACUGGGUGUAAAGGGCGAGUAGACGGCGAUGCAAGUCAGAUGUGAAAUGCUAGGGCUUAACCUUAGAACUGCAUCUGAAACUGUAUUGCUAGAGUGCAGGAGAGGUAAGCGGAAUUCCUAGUGUAGCGGUGAAAUGCGUAGAUAUUAGGAGGAACAUCAGUGGCGAAGGCGGCUUACUGGACUGUAACUGACGUUGAGGCGCGAAAGCGUGGGGAGCAAACAGGAUUAGAUACCCGAGUA
rnacentral:rRNA from 1 species